rnacentral:rRNA from 1 species
UACAGAGGUCUCAAGCGUUGUUCGGAUUCAUUGGGCGUAAAGGGCGCGUAGGCUGCGGGGCAAGUCGGGUGUGAAAUCUCAGAGCUCAACUCUGAAACUGCACUCGAUACUGCUUUGCUCGAGGACUGGAGAGGAGAUUGGAAUUCACGGUGUAGCAGUGAAAUGCGUAGAUAUCGUGAGGAAGACCAGUGGCGAAGGCGGAUCUCUGGACAGUUCCUGACGCUGAGGCGCGAAGGCCAGGGGAGCAAACGGGG